GGUGGGGUCGCAUAGUGGCCUAGUGCGGCGGUCUUGAAAACCGCUAGGGGCGGAAGCUUCUCGUGGGUUCGAAUCCCACCCCCACCG
rnacentral:tRNA from 1 species